rnacentral:rRNA from 1 species
UACGUAGGGUGCGAGCGUUAAUCGGAAUUACUGGGCGUAAAGCGCGCGCAGGCGGUUCGUUGUGUCGGCGGUGAAAGCCCCGGGCUUAACCUGGGAAUGGCCGUUGAAACUGGCGAACUGGAGUGUGGCAGAGGGGGGUGGAAUUCCGCGUGUAACAGUGAAAUGCGUAGAGAUGCGGAGGAACACCGAUGGCGAAGGCAGCCCCCUGGGCUAACACUGACGCUCAGGCACGAAAGCGUGGGGAGCAAACAGG